rnacentral:rRNA from 1 species
GUGCACGGGUGAGUAACACGUAUCCAACCUGCCGAUGACUCGGGGAUAGCCUUUCGAAAGAAAGAUUAAUACCCGAUGGCAUAGUUCUUCCGCAUGGUAGAACUAUUAAAGAAUUUCGGUCAUCGAUGGGGAUGCGUUCCAUUAGGUUGUUGGCGGGGUAACGGCCCACCAAGCCUUCGAUGGAUAGGGGUUCUGAGAGGAAGGUCCCCCACAUUGGAACUGAGACACGGUCCAAACUCCUACGGGAGGCAGCAGUGAGGAAUAUUGGUCAAUGGACGAGAGUCUGAACCAGCCAAGUAGCGUGAAGGAUGACUGCCCUAUGGGUUGUAAACUUCUUUUAUACGGGAAUAAAGUGAGGCACGUGUGCCUUUUUGUAUGUACCGUAUGAAUAAGGAUCGGCUAACUCCGUGCCAGCAGCCGCGGUAAUACGGAGGAUCCGAGCGUUAUCCGGAUUUAUUGGGUUUAAAGGGAGCGUAGGCGGACGCUUAAGUCAGUUGUGAAAGUUUGCGGCUCAACCGUAAAAUUGCAGUUGAUACUGGGUGUCUUGAGUACAGUAGAGGCAGGCGGAAUUCGUGGUGUAGCGGUGAAAUGCUUAGAUAUCACGAAGAACUCCGAUUGCGAAGGCAGCUUGCUGGACUGUAACUGACGCUGAUGCUCGAAAGUGUGGGUAUCAAACAGGAUUAGAUACCCUGGUAGUCCACACAGUAAA